rnacentral:rRNA from 2 species
GUCGAGCGAAUCGACGGGAGCUUGCUCCCUGAGAUUAGCGGCGGACGGGUGAGUAACACGUGGGCAACCUGCCUAUAAGACUGGGAUAACUUCGGGAAACCGGAGCUAAUACCGGAUACGUUCUUUUCUCGCAUGAGAGAAGAUGGAAAGACGGUUUACGCUGUCACUUAUAGAUGGGCCCGCGGCGCAUUAGCUAGUUGGUGAGGUAAUGGCUCACCAAGGCGACGAUGCGUAGCCGACCUGAGAGGGUGAUCGGCCACACUGGGACUGAGACACGGCCCAGACUCCUACGGGAGGCAGCAGUAGGGAAUCUUCCGCAAUGGACGAAAGUCUGACGGAGCAACGCCGCGUGAACGAAGAAGGCCUUCGGGUCGUAAAGUUCUGUUGUUAGGGAAGAACAAGUACCAGAGUAACUGCUGGUACCUUGACGGUACCUAACCAGAAAGCCACGGCUAACUACGUGCCAGCAGCCGCGGUAAUACGUAGGUGGCAAGCGUUGUCCGGAAUUAUUGGGCGUAAAGCGCGCGCAGGUGGUUCCUUAAGUCUGAUGUGAAAGCCCACGGCUCAACCGUGGAGGGUCAUUGGAAACUGGGGAACUUGAGUGCAGAAGAGGAAAGUGGAAUUCCAAGUGUAGCGGUGAAAUGCGUAGAGAUUUGGAGGAACACCAGUGGCGAAGGCGACUUUCUGGUCUGUAACUGACACUGAGGCGCGAAAGCGUGGGGAGCAAACAGGAUUAGAUA